GGUUAAGCGACUAAGCGUACACGGUGGAUGCCCUGGCAGUCAGAGGCGAUGAAGGACGUGCUAAUCUGCGAAAAGCGUCGGUAAGGUGAUAUGAACCGUUACAGCCGGCGAUGUCCGAAUGGGGAAACCCAGUGCAAUUCGUUGCACUAUCGUUUGAUGAAUACAUAGUCAAACGAGGCGAACCGGGGGAACUGAAACAUCUAAGUACCCCGAGGAAAAGAAAUCAACCGAGAUUCCCCCAGUAGCGGCGAGCGAACGGGGAGCAGCCCGGAGUCUGAAUCAGCUUGUGUGUUAGUGGAAGCGUCUGGAAAGUCGCAGGGUACAGGGUGAUACUCCCGUACACUAAAACGCACAGGCUGUGAACUCGAAGAGUAGGGCGGGACACGUGGUAUCCUGUCUGAAUAUGGGGGGACCAUCCUCCAAGGCUAAAUACUCCUGACUGACCGAUAGUGAACCAGUACCGUGAGGGAAAGGCGAAAAGAACCCCGGCGAGGGGAGUGAAAAAGAACCUGAAACCGUGUACGUACAAGCAGUAGGAGCCCACUUGUUGGGUGACUGCGUACCUUUUGUAUAAUGGGUCAGCGACUUAUAUUCUGUAGCAAGGUUAACCGUAUAGGGGAGCCGCAGGGAAACCGAGUCUUAACUGGGCGUUAAGUUGCAGGGUAUAGACCCGAAACCCGGUGAUCUAGCCAUGGGCAGGUUGAAGGUUGGGUAACACUAACUGGAGGACCGAACCGACUAAUGUUGAAAAAUUAGCGGAUGACUUGUGGCUGGGGGUGAAAGGCCAAUCAAACCGGGAGAUAGCUGGUUCUCCCCGAAAGCUAUUUAGGUAGCGCCUCGUGAAUUCAUCUUCGGGGGUAGAGCACUGUUUCGGCUAGGGGGUCAUCCCGACUUACCAACCCGAUGCAAACUACGAAUACCGAAGAAUGUUAUCACGGGAGACACACGGCGGGUGCUAACGUCCGUCGUGAAGAGGGAAACAACCCAGACCGCCAGCUAAGGUCCCAAAGUCAUGGUUAAGUGGGAAACGAUGUGGGAAGGCCCAGACAGCCAGGAUGUUGGCUUAGAAGCAGCCAUCAUUUAAAGAAAGCGUAAUAGCUCACUGGUCGAGUCGGCCUGCGCGGAAGAUGUAACGGGGCUAAACCAUGCACCGAAGCUGCGGCAGCGACACUAUGUGUUGUUGGGUAGGGGAGCGUUCUGUAAGCCGUUGAAGGUGGCCUGUGAGGGUUGCUGGAGGUAUCAGAAGUGCGAAUGCUGACAUAAGUAACGAUAAUGCGGGUGAAAAACCCGCACGCCGGAAGACCAAGGGUUCCUGUCCAACGUUAAUCGGGGCAGGGUGAGUCGACCCCUAAGGCGAGGCCGAAAGGCGUAGUCGAUGGGAAACAGGUUAAUAUUCCUGUACUUGGUGUUACUGCGAAGGGGGGACGGAGAAGGCUAUGUUGGCCGGGCGACGGUUGUCCCGGUUUAAGCAUGUAGGCGGAUGUUCCAGGUAAAUCCGGAACGUUAUUAACGCUGAGGUGUGAUGACGAGGCACUACGGUGCUGAAGUGACAAAUGCCCUGCUUCCAGGAAAGCCUCUAAGCAUCAGGUAACAUCAAAUCGUACCCCAAACCGACACAGGUGGUCAGGUAGAGAAUACCAAGGCGCUUGAGAGAACUCGGGUGAAGGAACUAGGCAAAAUGGUGCCGUAACUUCGGGAGAAGGCACGCUGAUAUGUAGGUGAAGUGGUUUACCCAUGGAGCUGAAAUCAGUCGAAGAUACCAGCUGGCUGCAACUGUUUAUUAAAAACACAGCACUGUGCAAACACGAAAGUGGACGUAUACGGUGUGACGCCUGCCCGGUGCCGGAAGGUUAAUUGAUGGGGUUAUCCGUAAGGAGAAGCUCUUGAUCGAAGCCCCGGUAAACGGCGGCCGUAACUAUAACGGUCCUAAGGUAGCGAAAUUCCUUGUCGGGUAAGUUCCGACCUGCACGAAUGGCGUAAUGAUGGCCAGGCUGUCUCCACCCGAGACUCAGUGAAAUUGAACUCGCUGUGAAGAUGCAGUGUACCCGCGGCAAGACGGAAAGACCCCGUGAACCUUUACUAUAGCUUGACACUGAACACUGGUCCUUGAUGUGUAGGAUAGGUGGGAGGCUUUGAAGUGUGGACGCCAGUCUGCAUGGAGCCAUCCUUGAAAUACCACCCUUUAAUGGCUGGUGUUCUAACGUGGGCCCGUAAUCCGGGUUGCGGACAGUGUCUGGUGGGUAGUUUGACUGGGGCGGUCUCCUCCUAAAGAGUAACGGAGGAGCACGAAGGUCAGCUAAUCCUGGUCGGACAUCAGGAGGUUAGUGCAAUGGCAUAAGCUGGCUUGACUGCGAGCGUGACGGCGCGAGCAGGUGCGAAAGCAGGUCAUAGUGAUCCGGUGGUUCUGAAUGGAAGGGCCAUCGCUCAACGGAUAAAAGGUACUCCGGGGAUAACAGGCUGAUACCGCCCAAGAGUUCAUAUCGACGGCGGUGUUUGGCACCUCGAUGUCGGCUCAUCACAUCCUGGGGCUGAAGUAGGUCCCAAGGGUAUGGCUGUUCGCCAUUUAAAGUGGUACGCGAGCUGGGUUUAGAACGUCGUGAGACAGUUCGGUCCCUAUCUGCCGUGGGCGCUGGAGAAUUGAGGGGGGCUGCUCCUAGUACGAGAGGACCGGAGUGGACGCAUCACUGGUGUUCGGGUUGUCAUGCCAAUGGCAUUGCCCGGUAGCUAAAUGCGGAAGAGAUAAGUGCUGAAAGCAUCUAAGUACGAAACUUGCCCCGAGAUGAGUUCUCCCUGACUCCUUGAGAGUCCUGAAGGAACGUUGAAGACGACGACGUUGAUAGGCCGGGUGUGUAAGCGCAGCGAUGCGUUGAGCUAACCGGUACUAAUGAACCGUGAGGCUUAACCUU
rnacentral:rRNA from 1 species